CGUUGCGGGCAUUUCCACGGGUACCCACGGGUCGGGUUUUUUGCCAUCCCUAGUUGAGUGUAUUCGAGAUCGGUUCUUACAGCGUGAUUGAUAGCUUGUUUGCACAUUUUGGGCAGUCAUGAAAAAUCUUCACUAGAGCGACCUAGUCAUAUGAUGUGAACCGAAAUGAGCCAAAAUUGGAUCAUGUUGAAUUAAGAGGCAUUGGUGGUCCCAUGACAAGGGCAAGGACCAAAAGAGCAUAAAAUGCACUAGGACCACUCAUGGAAAGCGUCAAGGAUAGUGUUCCAAGAUCAAACCAAGGGAGUUCUAAAUUCAUUCAUUGUGCUACUUUGAAAAUUGGCAAAAAAAAAUGGAAAAUGUUGAACAUGGUGGUGCCCCAGGACACGGCUAGGCCGUGUACGCCUAUGUCUGAAAUUUCCCAAGAUUAUAAUUGAGACACGAUCGUGUCCCAGGGCAUGGUCUGGCUGUGUUUACCAAAAAAUUCGGGAAAACUUGUGGCGUGCCAAUUUUAAUAUUUCCUAAUUACUUUUUGAUGUUUUAAGCAUGUUUUCAUUAGUUUGAAUUCAGAAUAAAGGCAUGUUUGAAGAGUGAACAAUUGACAUUAAUUACAACUACCAUUAUUAAAGCCGGAGAGAGGUUGCACUUAAUUCAUCAGAUUGGGAACUCAAGAAUGAUUAAUUAAGGAUGUGAUUUUCGUGCAAAGUCUCCACUCACUUAAUUCAUCUGAAUGGGGAACUCAAGCUUGAUAAGUGAGAGUGUGAUUUUCGUGCAAAGCCUCCACUCAAUUAAUUCAUCCGAAUGGGGAACUCAAGCAUGAUAAGUGUGGGUGUAAUUUUCGUGCAAUGCAUCCAGCCAAUUCUAAAUGCACAAUUCAAAGUCUAAAUUGCUUCCUUAAACUCGUGGGGACCAUGACAUUCAAUGAUGGCCGA
rnacentral:lncRNA from 1 species